AGAGCGAACGCUGGCGGCGUGCUUAACACAUGCAAGUCGAACGAGGUUUGUAGCAAUACAAAUACUCGUGGCGAACGGGUGCGUAACACGUGGAUAACCUUCCUUCAGGUGGGGAAUAACCCAGUGAAAAUUGGGCUAAUACCGCAUAACAUGACGAUGGCACAUGCUGUUGUCUUCAAAGGCGCAAGUCGCCAGAAGAGGGAUCCGCGGCCGAUUAGCUUGUUGGCGAGGUAAUGGCUCACCAAGGCAUUGAUCGGUAGCCGGACUGAGAGGUUGGCCGGCCACACUGGAACUGAGACACGGUCCAGACUCCUACGGGAGGCAGCAGUGGGGAAUCUUGCACAAUGGACGAAAGUCUGAUGCAGCAACGCCGCGUGGGGAUGAAGCUUCUCGGAGUGUAAACCCCUUUCGACUGGGACGAAUGCCUCGCAAGAGGAGUGACGGUACCAGUAGAAGACGCCCGGCUAACUACGUGCCAGCAGCCGCGUAA
rnacentral:rRNA from 1 species